rnacentral:lncRNA from 1 species
GCGUACAGCCUAGAGAGAAGAGGGGGACAUGAGACCAAGCAGAAAGUGAGACUGAGAAAUGGCAGCCUCUUUGUGUAAGCAAGGUGGCUAGUCCCAGGUUGCUGCAUUGAAGCUGAGCAGCCUGAGGACAUCUCACUGCUACCCGGAGAGGACCACCCAUUCUUAGUUAUCAGUCUGUUGUCCAAUGAGUGAUCACAUUUGGAGCAAUGGUCAUCUGUGCAGUGAGACUCUGCCCAAUACCCCUUCUGCCCCAAAUUUAUGAACACCACCAGCACAUUUACAGGUGCCCACAGAUGGGAGGGCAGGGUACUUGGACCUCUUGAAGGUUAUGAUGGCAUGAAGGCAGAGCUUCAUCUCUGGCCCCAAGUCCUUACUGUGCCCUGCUGGGCCUUGUGGAAA